AGCAGUAGCAAAAUUUGCAGUAGCAACAUUCCAAGAAAAAGAAUUCACGUUUGUCAUUGUGGUAUCAUAGUGAAGGCUUACCACACUUGCCUGAAAUCUUUACCAGCAAACACACAUCUAUCUGGUCUUCUCAGCUUCAAAUCCCCUAAACCCACAAAUGCAACAUUUCUUUGAGGAUAGUAAAUUUAAAACCUGGUAUUCCUCCAAAUAUUCAGCCUGCCUUUUUCAUUUACCCAGGAUUUGAAAGCUCGCUGCCCCACUGUGGAGGAUCAAGUGUAUAUUGGCAAUUCAAGACAAGAAAAAAAAGGGGGGAGGCAUGUGGCAUAUUUGCUUCUGUACGACUGAAUCUUCUCUAAAUGAAAAGCUGUCUGCCAUGGACCUGCAUCCAAAGCCUGCUGACAUUGACAGUGGUCAGCAACUCUGACAGCCUGCAGGUAUGGGUAACGAAACGGAGGAUUCAAGUUGUUACAUUCUACAGAUGGCACCUAAGUCUGUCACCUUCUGGAAAGAAGUCAUGAGUAUCCAGCUUCCAAGGCA